rnacentral:rRNA from 1 species
UACGUCGGGUGCAAGCGUUGUCCGGAAUUAUUGGGCGUAAAGAGCUCGUAGGCGGUUCGUCGCGUCGGCUGUGAAAACCCGGAGCUCAACUCCGGGCCUGCAGUCGAUACGGGCGGACUUGAGUGUUGCAGGGGAGACUGGACUUCCUGGUGUAGCGGUGAAAUGCGCAGAUAUCAGGAGGAACACCGGUGGCGAAGGCGGGUCUCUGGGCAACAACUGACGCUGAGGAGCGAAAGCGUGGGGAGCGAACAGG